UUCGUAGAAAGAAAAUUAGUCAGAGAUAGGGGGUCUGCAACGGCUACGUAUGAGUCGAUUUUUAAUAAUCGGAGUUUGAUUUAUGGCAAAUCGGAGACGGUGGAGGUGCUGUUUAUGCCUCAUCCGACGGUGACGGCGUCGUCGCGGGCGAUCGGGACUCCGGAUGUGGCUGUGAUCGGGGAUGGUGAUGUGGCGGCGGCGGCGGCGGUGUCGGUGCAGGGUAAGCGGUUAGUGAUGCAGAAGAAGGCGGUGGUUGCUUCGGUGGUGGCGGAGGAUUAUGCUAGGAGUUUUGGGUCUGGUGAUGUUGAUGUGGUAGUGCAAAUAUUUUCUUGAUAUACAGAGCACUGAAGAAUCCUUUUUAUCAUGUUAUGUGUUGGGUAAUGGAAAAUCAUUGGAGAGAGUGGUCUCAUUAAACGCCCUACAACUGGGAAAUUAAUAUCUCUAGAUGGAGUUCUUGUGUAUUAAACUCCAAGAACAUGACUGAUGCUGGCCAUUAAAUCUGAUUGAUGACGGUAAUAGUGUAGACCAUGGUGUUGACAAACAAAGACGGGCCAAGUCAUCUUAUGAUCUACCAGGGUCAAUGCCUAACCAUGACAGGCCCAUAGCUAGAAAAAAAAUCGUAAGAAUUGCACCUGGUGACCGCAGUUGGGCUGCUGCAACAACUGAAGGGGUUUUGGUUUAUCCGGUGGAUGAUAAUUUCAUAUUUGAUCCCACGGAUCUCGAUAUUGAUGUUACACCCGAGGCAAUUGAAGCAGCUCUUUGUUGAAAUCAACCAAGCAAUGUCGUUUAGAUCCGGCUUUUUUUCGGUGCGAUGAGAUAACUACGAGUCGGAAGGUUGGAGAAGAAGACAAGGACGGAUGCUCGCAUGUAAGAACCCCGCCGCAUUGCGGCGGGUACUAAUUCCUAGUUAUGAUAUAAUUAGAAAUGUUAAUGUUUUGGCCACUAAGUUAAGGUUAGCCUAUAUAAACAGUGUUAGGGUUUUACAUUAUAAUCAAAUUUUUGAAAAGUUUUCUUAGGAAUAAUCGUUCGAAGUUAGCCAAAUUAUUGUUUCUUGAUUCCUAUCUUAAAUGGAAGCCGUAAGUUUAACAAACCACAAGGACAAGUUAUGUAAUUUACUUUUAUCA